rnacentral:lncRNA from 1 species
CUGCUAGAAGGUUGGUGUCUGUUAGUGUCUCCAGCACAGCAGGGUCUGGUCUGUGUCCAGGCUGCUUCUGCCAUGCUCAAUCUCACCUUACUCUUGAAGGAAAUAAAAGGCUAGGAAGCCAGAAGAAAUACUCACACUGAGGGCACUGGCCCACCAGGGAUAGCAUUAGCAAAAGAGACUCAAUGAGGAAGAGAAAACAGAGAUGACAGAGACCCAAAUACCAUUUGAAUUGGACUCUACCUGCAAGUGGAGCUUUACCAUCCAGUUCCUCUUGGUACUCCACUCCCAUUUGCACAUUAAAGAUUGUAAGAGAGUUGGAACUUUGGACAUGGAUGGACCUCUCCCAGUAAAUCUAGAAGGCAUUCAUUCCAACAGCAUACAAAACAAUACUGGUGGGUGCCCACGCCACAACACUACGGCACCAUAAAUAUACUGCAAUAGGAAAAGUUUGAUUUCCAGCCAUUGAACUUGACAUUGAAAUUCCAGCCUGGGUGCAGUAGGGUGAGUCUGUAGUCCCAGCUACUCUGGAGACUGAGGCAGGAAGAGCACUUGAGUCCAGGAGUUCAAAUCCAGUCUGAGCAGUAUAAUGAGACCCCCUUCUCUAAAAAACAAAUAAAUACAUACAUUGGCAUCAAACUAGUUUCCUUUUUACACAUAAAAAAGCAAGGUG